UUUACCAGGUCUUGACAUACCAGUUGACCGGUCUAGAGAUAGACUUUUCGCUCUCGGGCGACAAUGGAGUACAGGUGGUGCAUGGUUGUCGUCAGCUCGUGCCGUGAGGUGUGGGUUAAGUCCCGCAACGAGCGCAACCCUAUUGAUAGUUGCUAAUAUUAAGUUAAGGACUCUAUUGAGACUGCCAGCGACAAGCUGGAGGAAGGUGGGGAUGACGUCAAAUCAUCAUGCCCUUUAUGACCUGGGCUACAAACGUACUACAAUGGCCAGAUACAAAGAGAUGCGAAGCCGCGAGGUGGAGCGAACCUCAUAAAAAUGGUCUCAGUUCGGAUUGGAGUCUGCAACUCGACUCCAUGAAGUCGGAAUCGCUAGUAAUCGCGGGUCAGCAGACCGCGGUGAAUACGUUCCCGGGUUUU
rnacentral:rRNA from 1 species